GGAGAAGGCAUGAGUGCACAUGCUCGGGGCGGCGCGGGUGCACGGGGCAUGCGGGCCGGCCGAGGGAGUAUUGAUCGUGGUGGGGAGCCUGGUGGGCUAUUGAUCGCAGUGGUGGCAGACGGCGCCGUGUGGCCCAGCCGUGCAGGUCUUGAGCUGUGAGCCGUGCCCGCACCACCCCGCGCUCUGUGUGACCUCUGACCCUGUGUGACCUGUGUGGAGUGUGGCCUGCCUCGACCCCCCGUGUAGGGCCCACGAGGUGUUCCCUUAGUGUCCUGGCCGCCCACACCGCGCGCCCGCCCGCCCGCUUGCCCGCCCGCCCCUCCGAUCCGCCGUAUCUGUGUUAGCAGCAGCUGUGGGUAGUGAUGGCCGCGCCCUAGUGCUGCCGCCCGCCCACCCAGUGUAGUGUGUGUGUGUGUGUGUGUCUUGUGUGUGGACCUGGCCGCCACACACCCACCGCCCACCCCGCCCCCACACCUAGCCCGCCCGCCCGCCCACACCGCCACUGCUGCUGCUGUUGCUGUUGCUGCUGCUGCCGCCGCCGCCGCCACUACUAUCAUCUCACACCACCUGCUUCACGCCCACACCACCACGCCCACCGCCCCAGCCCGUCCGGAAAGAAUGGCGGCGUCCCGGCAUCGAUACUUUUGGGUCUUUCAGGACCUCCAUGCCUGCUGAUGUACUUUUCUGACCUCCCACUUGUGAGUGCGAAGAGUUCGUACUUAUCCCCGGGGGAGCAGGUUGUGUGGUGCUGAUUCUCCGGAACUUGGAUGUAUAGGAAGCUGAAGGU